UCAGUGUCAGUUCCAAAACAGGUCCUGUAUCGGUCACGUGACUUUCUUGAAGCGAUACGCACAUCGACACGGGGUUUAGCUCUAUGAGCUAGACGCAUGUGCUGAUGCAUCGGUGUUGCUGGACCCAUCACUACUGAACAGUGCGGCUGACUUCUGGAGCAGUGUGUAGAGGCACGUUUUCCUGCUGGUGUUCAAUCGGGUGUAUGUGCACUGUGUGGUGGAGCUGGGUUAAAAAUUUCAUUCUACACAUAACAAGACUGUGGAGCCAGCACAUGUCCCCAGAUUCCACCACCGCAUUUUCCUCACCCUCCUGAAGCGCUGCUGUUCUGGCUGUUUUGACUUUUAUGGUUUUAUUUUAAUCUUACAUCCGUGGUCCUCCGUAGACGGCUUAGGUUCACCUCUCGCCCUGCCGAAACUCGUGGCAGGUGCCUGCGGAGCAAUGCGGAUGCGCCAUUCCCCUCUCCAGGUGCCGUGGGCCUAGGGCGGCAGCGUGAUCCCUGGUGGUGGAUUUUUUCUUCACAGCUUCCAGUUUCUUUGGUGUGCAGUUAAAUGGGUGUUGGUUUGCGGUCCCUUUUUUUAUAUUUUGUUGGAUCCCUGCCAUAGUGGUAAGCCCCGGCCCUGUUCACCUUUAUGGGCCAUGUGCUAGCUUUUUCAUAGUGGCAGUCUUUUUAAUAAUAUAAUAACUUGUUUAAUAAAA